CUCUUCUUGGAAGAGUUGCGAACGGGUGAGUAACGCGUAGGUAACCUGCCUUGUAGCGGGGGAUAACUAUUGGAAACGAUAGCUAAUACCGCAUAACAAUGGGUGACCCAUGUCAUUCAUUUGAAAGGGGCAACUGCUCCACUACAAGAUGGACCUGCGUUGUAUUAGCUAGUAGGUGAGGUAACGGCUCACCUAGGCGACGAUACAUAGCCGACCUGAGAGGGUGAUCGGCCACACUGGGACUGAGACACGGCCCAGACUCCUACGGGAGGCAGCAGUAGGGAAUCUUCGGCAAUGGGGGCAACCCUGACCGAGCAACGCCGCGUGAGUGAAGAAGGUUUUCGGAUCGUAAAGCUCUGUUGUAAGUCAAGAACGAGUGUGAGAGUGGAAAGUUCACACUGUGACGGUAGCUUACCAGAAAGGGACGGCUAACUACGUGCCAGCAGCCGCGGUAAUACGUAGGUCCCGAGCGUUGUCCGGAUUUAUUGGGCGUAAAGCGAGCGCAGGCGGUUUGAUAAGUCUGAAGUUAAAGGCUGUGGCUCAACCAUAGUUCGCUUUGGAAACUGUCAAACUUGAGUGCAGAAGGGGAGAGUGGAAUUCCAUGUGUAGCGGUGAAAUGCGUAGAUAUAUGGAGGAACA
rnacentral:rRNA from 1 species